rnacentral:tRNA from 1 species
UGGCUCAGAUGGUAAAGAAUCUGCUUGCAAUGCAGAAGACCCAGGUUUGAUCCCUGG